rnacentral:rRNA from 1 species
AGAGUUUGAUUCUGGCUCAGGACGAACGCUGGCGGCGUGCCUAAUACAUGCAAGUCGAACGCUUUUCUUUCCACCGGAGCUUGCUCCACCGGAAAGAAAAGAGUGGCGAACGGGUGAGUAACACGUGGGUAACCUGCCCUCAAGCGGGGGAUAACACUUGGAAACAGGUGCUAAUACCGCAUAACAAUAGAAGGAGCAUUUCUUCUGUUUGAAAGUCGCAACUGCGACACUUGAGGAUGGACCCGCGGUGCAUUAGCUAGUUGGUGAGGUAACGGCUCACCAAGGCCACGAUGCAUAGCCGACCUGAGAGGGUGAUCGGCCACACUGGGACUGAGACACGGCCCAG